CUACGGGCUGCAGCAGUGAGGAAUAUUGGUCAAUGGGCGCAAGCCUGAACCAGCCAUGCCGCGUGAAGGAUGAAGGCCUUAUGGGUUGUAAACUUCUUUUAUACGGGAAUAAACUUAGCUAUGUAUAGCUAACUGCAGGUACCGUAAGAAUAAGCACCGGCUAACUCCGUGCCAGCAGCCGCGGUAAUACGGAGGGUGCAAGCGUUAUCCGGAUUUAUUGGGUUUAAAGGGUCCGCAGGCGGACUAAUAAGUCAGUGGUGAAAUCUCUCGGCUCAACCGAGAAACUGCCAUUGAUACUGUUAGUCUAGAGUGUAGUUGGCGUAGGCGGAAUGUAUCAUGUAGCGGUGAAAUGCUUAGAUAUGAUACAGAACACCGAUCGCGAAGGCAGCUUACGAAACUACAACUGACGCUCAGGGACGAAAGCGUGGGAAGCGAACAGGAUUAGAUACCCCUGUAGUC
rnacentral:rRNA from 1 species